rnacentral:lncRNA from 1 species
GCCCGAGCCUCCUCCCGCGCCCGCCCCGCAGCCCUGCCCUCGCCGGCUCACUCUCCCCAGCCCUGGAGGCCGCGCGAGGCCAGUCCCCCUCCAGGGCCUGUCAGGAGCCACCCUCCCAGCCCACAGCGGCACCCAGGUACCUGGCUCCGUGACAGGCAGCUUCAGGGACCCUUAUCAGAGGGCUCUCAGGGUGGGGCGGCUCCAUUUGCUUAAGGCUUAGUCGUGAGGGCCCCAGCCCCAUUACGUCAAGCCCGGCCCCAUAUAAGACGAGGGUCCCAGCCCCUGGUCCCAAGCAAGUGCCCAGCUCCAACAUGGCCCAGCUGCGCCAUAGCCUCUGCUCCACUUUUGGCCUCCUCCUCCUCCUUCUAGUGCCUUGGGCGGCAGGUGCUACAUCUCAAGAACUUCAGAAAGCUGGUGAAUCCUCAACACCUGAUCACUUAUCCUCCUUCACCCCAGGCCUUGUCCAUAAUGCUCCCUCUGACCACACUGCUCUGCAUUCAAAACAAAGACCUCCAGACCUCCCCAAACCUACUGAAAUUCAGAGGUCAAAACGCCACUGCAACACCACACGCCGUACCAGGCCAACUCCCAAACCUAUAGACAACUCCAGAGGUGCAGACUAUGAGGGCUCUGGAGUUCACCACAGACCUCCUCCCACUUCUAAACAAAACAGCAGCAAGCAAAAAGAGGAGCCAGUUAUCCAGGAAAAACCCUCUAACCAUCAUGUGGACUCCACUAACAUACACAAAAGAUCACCUAACCAACAGCAUUCAACCUCAGCACCCACGAGGAAAACAACUUGUAAGUCCACAAUAAGAAAAACAAGAGUAACAAAAAACACAGCUACAACCGUAACACCUGUGGAAAAGACUGCCAUUAGUUUGAAUAAUACAACCAUCAUCUCCCACAAGACUACAAUUCGUUUUCACAACUCAGUCAAUUCAGAGACCAACAUAAAAAACACAUCUUCCUCAGAAAAAAACACGCAAGCCACAAUGAUAUCAUACAAAACUACAAAAAGCCCAGAAAAGUCAGAUGGAGCUGAAGACUAUAGGACUACAGUUGUCUCAGGCAAUCCCCUCACAAACACUAUGAAAGAUAUAAAAGAGACAUCAGCCAGUGAGAAGGCCACAGGAGCGCAAACAACACCUCCAGAACAUGGAGGAAAGACCACGUUGGCCCAUAAGCUCACAGGACCCCACACAAUACUUCCAGAACAUGGUGGAGAGACCACGUCAGUCCAUGAGCUCACAGGACCCCACACAAUACUUCCAGAACAUGGCGGAGAGACCACGUCGGCCCAUGAGCUCACAGGACCCCACACAAUACUUCCAGAACAUGGCGGAGAGACCACGUCGGCCCAUGAGCUCACAGGGGCCCAGGUGACACCUAAAGAACUUGAACAAAAUACCACAUUGGCCCAGGAGAAGACCACAAAAGCCCAAACAAUGCCUCUAGAUCAUCAAGAAAAGACUACAUCAGCCCAGGAGAAGACAACACAAGUCUCGCCAAAGUCCACAGAACACCCAGAAGAGACAUCAACCAUAGAGAAAACCACAAAGAUCUCCAAAACUCCUAUCGUGUACCCAAAGAAGACCACACUGACCACUGAGACCACAAAAAUCCUCGUAAAAUCCACAAAAACCCCAGAAAAUACAGCACCAGCAGCAAUCACAGAGACUACAAGACGUACAGUCAAGGUCCCAGGAGCCACAUCAGGUGCCUCUCCUCAUUUGAACACAACUGAGGUCACCCAUCAAGAGUCGGCUGGUUCUUUGCCAUUCACCACCUCUGGAAUGGACCACAGCUCCAUCACGUUAGAAGCCCCAGGCAGUAAGAGUCACCCACAGCAGAGUAGCGGUGCCUCACAGACAGGCCCCUACACUGGAGAGAAGGGGGCAAGCGAUUCAUUCCCUGCAUGGGCCAUAGUUAUUGUGGUCCUGGUGGCUGUGAUUCUCCUGCUGUUGUUCUUUAUUCUAAUCUUCUUGGUAAGGGACAGAGAAAUGAGUCCAUGAAAUAAGGAUUGAGGAGGGAUCAGGGGCCAGAGUGAGAGGAAGUGGUGUGUCUAGGAAAAGAGGUGGUAGAGGUGGAGCUUGGAAGCGGAUGGGUGGUAGUGAAAGGUAAGGGAAAGGAAUGAACACACAAGAUGUGCAAGUGGGAACUGGGGAGAAGGCUGUGGCUGAGACAAAAAGGGUGUGCAAGAGAGGGAUCUGGAGAUUGGAGGUAAGAGUUGCAGGUGUGAGAAAGACAGGUGUAAGGGCAAGAAUAGGACAGGGCGGGGCACUGGAGGUAGAGUCUGGGCUCAGAGUGUUGGGUCUGGGCCUGGAAUAAGGCUGGGAGCUUGGACGGAAUCUUGGGAAAGGAGCAAACUGAAAGGCCGGGGACUGGAAGAACAGAAUCAGGCCUGAGAUGUGGGUGCUGAGGAAAGCGAACAUGGGGCAGAUGGUUCUCAUCCCUCCUUUCUUGUUGCAAUCUCAGGUCUCCUUUAUGACUCGAGUACGCCGUGCCCUGACCCGGAACAUGGAGGACGAUGGCCUACAGGAUCACGAGGGCCCCAAUUCCUACCCAGUCUACUUGAUGGAGCAGCAGCAUUUGGGCACGGGACAGAUCCCUUCCCUGCAAUGAUCUUUUAGCAGGCACCCAAUCCCAGCUCUUCCAGGCUCUACCACUCCCCUGGAUGAUGAGUCAGACUCGCAAUUCCUAUUUCCUGGACUCCAGGAAGGGCAGAGAAUCCUGACAGUGGACAGCAUUAAUCCGACAUCAGCCUUGUUCUCAGUUGAAACUGGUUGGAGGAUGAGGUGAUUAUGAAGGGUGUAAGUUCUGGGGAAUGAGAAGAAAGAAUUAUUAACACAAGCAAGUGUUCCCUGGAGAAGGUGACGAUGGAGAAUACGAAGGUGCCUUGCGGACGCGUGGGGUGGGGACCAGCACGGGUGCCGAGUCCUGGGCCGGGGAGGGCGACCCCAGGUCCCACUGACUUGAGAGUGGGGAUUUGGGGAAGCAGAGAAAAUGAGGCCAGGGCUCCCAGCUCCGGGACUGACACAUGUGACUGUCUUUUGUCACCUAGACUUGUCUCUCAGUUCCUAGAAAACUUGCCUUUCCUUCUUCAAUGGAACCAAACCAAACCAAACCGGAUCUAAGCAGAAAAGAGGAUUACAAUACUUCCUUCUCCACUAUCUCUAUUCUCGGAGAAAGGAAUAUCCUGGAAAUAAUCAUAAGUAUCUCUCAUUCAGAUGGUUCCUCUCUUCUCCUGAAUCUCAGUUUCCCCAAAUGUCAGGGUGGGUUUCCUGCUGGUCUGGGUGGGCGCAGGGCGGGGACUUGCUUUUGGCCUGGGUGUCACCCACCCUGGCUGCCUUCCUCACCAGAAGCUAGCCUGGGGUUCAUCUGCCCCGCACCUGUGCCCGGCUCCGUGCUCCCCUGGGCGUUUCCUCUGCGUGUGCUUUAUGGAUUUUCUCACGCAUUGUAGCCUUUCACCUACGAGCGAUUGGGUAGAGAGGAAAGGACAGCAACAGAUCAUUUCCUUCUUUGGGAUUUUUUAAAAAAUAAAAUGCAACAUAUUUAUAAAGUAAGGACUCAGAGGCCCAUCUUUGGGGGAACGGACUGUUCAGCUCUGGCUGGGACCUUAGGGAUGGCCCCGGGGAGGAGGGGCUGGAGAACAGGACAGGACAGUUCUUCGGAGCCCAAGGGAGGACGGCUGGGUUUCUAUUGUAAAGGCAGUUUCUGGGUUUAGAUAAGAGCCCGUCUCAGUUUA